UCAAUCCUCCAAGUGUCAAAAAUUUUUAACAGCGAAGUGCAGAAAACAUUAACUCAAGCGUGUGCUAUCGUUUCAAAAUCGAUUUAUAACCUUUUUCUAAGAGAACGUGUUAUCGACUAUUCACAUCAUACAAUCAACCAUUACUGGAGUAAGGAAUUUGUAGACAAAAAUGAUCGUUACCUGCCAGUGGAAUACCUCUUCGAUGACGGUACCGAGGAUGACAUGUGUACGAUACCUUUAUAUUAACCAGACCGAUAUCGUUACCGCCGAAGGAGAGGAGUCUAGGAACGUCGGGUCGACGAACGUGGCCAGUAUUAUCGCUGUUGAUGUAUCGUACCACUACUAGUACUUACGAUAAGUUCCAUGUGAUGAUUGGCCAAUAACCGAAGCGGUAACAGAUUGCACCGAUGUUGCUACCACUGUUAUUUCCCAAAAUGUUACGCAAGGAAUAAAGUCUGUGAAAACGA